rnacentral:sRNA from 1 species
UAUUCUGCCCCAUGGGGAAGGAUGAGAAGCUUCGACUAAGGUUCGACUCAAGCGAAGCGAGAGAACGUUGCCGCAGGCAACGGCCCGAAGGGCGAGGCGCUUUAGCGCCGAGUAAUCCUUCCCCCACCACCA